UACGAAGGGGGCUAGCGUUGCUCGGAAUCACUGGGCGUAAAGCGCACGUAGGCGGACUCUUAAGUCGGUGGUGAAAUCCUGGAGCUCAACUCCAGAACUGCCUUCGAUACUGAGAGUCUCGAGUCCGAGAGAGGUGAGUGGAACUGCGAGUGUAGAGGUGAAAUUCGUAGAUAUUCGCAAGAACACCAGUGGCGAAGGCGACUUACUGGACGAUUGUUGACGCUGAGGUGCGAAAGCGUGGGGAGCAAACAGG
rnacentral:rRNA from 1 species